AAGUCGUAACAAGGUAACCGUAGGUGAACCUGCGGUUGGAUCAUUAAAAAGAUCUACCACCCGAACUCGGAUGAGAUCGUCAUAGCCGCCCUCGUCAGUCCGACGCCGGGUGUUCUCACCUAAAAAGUGAGUCAACAUUAUGUGAACUGUUCUGUCUUGGCGGUGGGAUGGCGUCAAAACCAUCUGUCAGCCUCCGAGUUCUCUCGGUGUGCCGUGGACAAGCCGUCAAUGGUGUAUGUUUCAUACAAACUUUUGUUUCAUCAAUCUGUCUGGCAUACCUUUUGUAUCUAAAAUAUACAAAAACAA
rnacentral:misc_RNA from 1 species